rnacentral:rRNA from 1 species
GAAUUACUGGGCGUAAAGCGUGCGUAGGUGGUCGUUUAAGUCCGUUGUGAAAGCCCUGGGCUCAACCUGGGAACUGCAGUGGAUACUGGGCGACUAGAGUGUGGUAGAGGGUAGCGCAAUUCCUGGUGUAGCAGUGAAAUGCGUAGAGAUCAGGAGGAACAUCCAUGGCGAAGGCAGCUACCUGGACCAACACUGACACUGAGGCACGAAAGCGUGGGGAGCAAACAGGAUUAGAUACCCUGGUAGUCCACGCCCUAAACGAUGCGAACUGGAUGUUGGGUGCAAUUUGGCACGCAGUAUCGAAGCUAACGCGUUAAGUUCGCCGCCUGGGGAGUACGGUCGCAAGACUGAAACUCAAAGGAAUUGACGGGAAUC